UCAAAAUGAUUCAAUAUUGAGAAGAUUAUGGGUGAGAGUAAGAAUAACAUAGAUAGAAUGUUUGAAUGAAGAUCGAUUCUGUAUUUAGACAAUGAGAAAAAUGUAUUGCCAAAAAAGAUAUUUAUAUGGGGGAAAUGCCCGUGUAUUCAUAUGGCACCGUUGAUUUGUGUGGGUGGAACCUUUUGGUAGUUCCACACGCACCUUCUAUGUCCAUGUGUGGCUCUGGUGUAAUGCUCUUGUGUACUACUUCAGAGUUCUAGUUGUAUGAUUUAACUCACACCAUGGUAUCUGCAACAGUUGGUUUAUCAGACCAUGUUAUUUUGCAUCCUUGCAAUUUUCUGCCAUAUAUGAGGUGUUCCAUCGAUUGUUCAGUGGUGAUUUUGAUAUGUGAAGUAGCACAGUUUGUGAUUUUGAAUAGGCAUAGAAAGAUUUCGUACGGGUUCUAAAACUCAAUGUCUGGUAAUGUUUCUGAAUUUCAUUUUCUUGUCUGAACAUAUUUUAAAACUCAAUGUCUGGUAAUGUUCUGAAUUUCAUUCACUUGUCUGUGCCUGAUGAGUAAUGUUUUUUAGGAUUCUAACAAGAAAUCGAAGAAUGGAAGAUGUAUGCAAGGACAAAUGUUGAGCAGACAAAGAAGGAAAGUAUUUGUGGUCAUGACUUCCAUGUUUAUCGCCUAAGCAAAGCGUGAUUUCAAAUUUUCCAGCGUGCCUGGCUACUGGUAGACAUGCAUGUGAUGGCCAGAUGAAAGGGAAAAGACCAAAAAUUGAGCUGGAACCUAUCACUACAGCCUUAGCCUUACAGGCUGAUGUCAGGUCAAGGACGACAAAGGCCUAGUAGACCCGUGAUCCAGGGGCAGAGGCAAGAAAAUUGGUUUGGGUGGCAGAUAUCUUCUUGUAUUUUAGUAGACAUGUGGUCUACCUAUUUUUAAUUUGCAAAUACAAUAUGAUUUAUAGUUAAUA